CAGUCGCCACGGGAAUACAGAGGGUGCGAGCGUUAAUCGGAUUUACUGGGCGUAAAGCGUGCGUAGGCGGCUUCUUAAGUCGGAUGUGAAAUCCCUGAGCUUAACUUAGGAAUUGCAUUCGAUACUGGGAAGCUAGAGUAUGGGAGAGGAUGGUAGAAUUCCAGGUGUAGCGGUGAAAUGCGUAGAGAUCUGGAGGAAUACCGAUGGCGAAGGCAGCCAUCUGGCCUAAUACUGACGCUGAGGUACGAAAGCAUGGGGAGCAAACAGGAUUAGAUACACCAGUAGUCCCUGUCUCUUAUAA
rnacentral:rRNA from 1 species